rnacentral:rRNA from 1 species
GUAGAGUGCUUCGGCACUUGAGACCGGCGUACGGGUGCGUAACGCGUGUACAAUCUACCUUUUGCUAAGGGAUAGCCCGAAGAAAUUUGGAUUAAUACCUUAUAGUAUUAUUURGUGGCAUCAUUARAUAAUUAAAGCUACGGUGGCAAAAGAUGAGUACGCGUCCCAUUAGCUAGUUGGAGUGGUAACGGCACACCAAGGCUACGAUGGGUAGGGGUUCUGAGAGGGAUGUCCCCCACACUGGUACUGAGACACGGACCAGACUCCUACGGGAGGCAGCAGUGAGGAAUAUUGGACAAUGGUCGGAAGACUGAUCCA